rnacentral:lncRNA from 1 species
UCUUUAGAUUUUCGUUUUGAAGGUUGAAUGCUUGAGUUUGAAGCUUCUUCUUUGCUUUUUCAUGGUGGUUUCUUUGGUGGAAGGGAGACCCAUUGUCCAUUUCGGUUUUCUCCUCAUUUUGCUGCAGUAAUCUCGUUUUUACUUUGAGUUUCUUGGAUUGGAGGAUGAAAAUGGAGUUGUUGUCAAGUUUGGUAGUGAAAAAGGCUUAAGUUGGUGCAUGGGUAUUGUAUUCUUGAGCCAUUUUCUUCUAGCAUUUUGUUUUUUGAUGUUGGGAAACAAAUUUUGAGCUGGACUUUGUGCUUGAUGAUGGUGGCUGGACGGUAUUGCAUAGGAAGCAUAGGGGUUUGGUUUUAUUUGGGUCAAAAAGUUGAAGAAAAAUGUGUUUUGAAGUUGAAUUUAUGAAGGUAGAACUUGGUUUUAUUGUUCUUGAAUCAU